rnacentral:rRNA from 1 species
GAUGAACGCUGGCGGCGUGCCUAAUACAUGCAAGUCGAGCGAACGGACGAGAAGCUUGCUUCUCUGAUGUUAGCGGCGGACGGGUGAGUAACACGUGGAUAACCUACCUAUAAGACUGUGAUAACUUCGGGAAACCGGAGCUAAUACCGGAUAAUAUUUUGACCCGCAAGGUUCCCGAGUGGAAGACGGUCUUUCUGUCACUAAUAGAUUGAUACGCGCUGCAUUAGCUAGUUGGGAAGGUAAAGGGUUACCAAGGCAACGAUGGAUAGCCGACCUGAGCGGGGGAUAGGCGGUAUGGGAGCUGGAACACGGUCCAGACGCCUGAGAGAGGGAGCAGAAGGGAACGUGACGCAGUGGGCGAAAGCCUGACGGAACAGCGCCGCGUGAGUGAUGAAGGUGUUGGGAUCGUGAAAAUGUGUUAUUGGGGAAGAACAGAUGUCGAAGGAAAUGUGCACAGCUUGACGGUAACUAAUCAGAAAGCCACGGCUAACUACGUG